rnacentral:rRNA from 1 species
CCCUUAGAUGUUCUGGGCAGCCCGCGCGCUACAAUGGUCUUCGCAAACGGAUGCAUUCUCGAAGGAGAAUGCCAAUCUUGGAAUCUAUGCCUUGGUCGGGACAGUUGCUUGCAAUUUUUCGACUCGAACCAGGAAUUCCUUGUAAUCGUGAUUCAUCACAUCACGAUGAAUACGUCCCUGCCCUUUGUACACACCGCCCGUCGCUCCUACCGAUCGAAGAGUUAGGUGAAUUGUUUUGAUCGAUAAGAUUUGACUAUGGUCAACUCUCGUUGUGAAAUUCUGUGAAUCUGACUGUUUAGAGGAAGGAAAAGUCGUAACA